CCCUUAGAUGUCCGGGGCCGCACGCGCGCUACACUGAAGGAAUCAGCGUGGCUCUGUCCCUGGUCCGAAAGGAUUGGGAAACCCGUUGAAUCUCCUUCGUGAUAGGGAUUGGGGCUUGGAACUGUUCCCCAUGAACGAGGAAUUCCCAGUAAGCGCGAGUCAUAAGCUCGCGUUGAUUACGUCCCUGCCCUUUGUACACACCGCCCGUCGCACCUACCGAUUGAAUGGUCCGGUGAAAUCUCGGGACGGCGGCUUGGUCGCUUGCGUCCGACUGCUGAAACUUGAUUAAACCAUAUCAUUUAGAGGAAGGUGAAGUCGUAACA
rnacentral:rRNA from 1 species